AUGGUCUCGUGGGCUAGGAGAUGUAUAAAAGAGAGAGUCCGGAAUCCUGGAACAAGUACAUGGAUUCCAGACGGACCUGACCAACUGGCCCCUCCCCGAUGCCGAGGCUACUUGGUUCACUGAUGACAGCAGCUUUGUGCGAGACGGACACAGGUAUGCAGGUGCAGUGGUGGUCACCGAAACGGACACUGUAUGGGUGGAGGCUCUACCCUCCGGAACGUCAGCCCAGCGAGCAGAGCUCAUAGCCCUCACCAAGGCGCUGAUGCUGGGAGCUAGAAAAUGGCUUAACAACUACCAGACUUGGGAGACCCAGUUUUACCAGCCCAGCCCAAAUACUCCCAGGAGGAGUUACAGUGGAUCAAGAAACUCCCCAUGGCCCAGGAGAUAAAGGGAUGGUGGUAUACACCUAACAAGGAGCUUGUGCUGCCAGACCGGCUCGGAGUCUCAAUAUUAGAGCAUGUGCAUCGGUCUACUCACCUGGGGGCCUGAAAAUUAAAAGACUUAAUCCGACAUGCCAGAAUCAAGAUUCACCAACAGGACACCAAAAUAGAGCAAGUUGUAUCUGCCUGCAAGACCUGCCAACUCACCAAUGCGAGAGCCACAU